AAUUAAUGAGCUUGUUAAAGCAUUUGUUUUGAAAACUUAAAAAAGAAAUAAAUUAUUUCUAUUAAUUU
rnacentral:tRNA from 1 species